UACGAACUGUGCAAACGUUAUUCGGAAUCACUGGGCUUACAGGGUGCGUAGGCGGCCAGACAAGUAGGGUGUGAAAGCCCCCGCUUAACCGGGGAAUGGCGCCCUAAACUGUAUGGCUGGAGUGAGAUAGGGGUGUGCGGAACUUCCGGUGGAGCGGUGAAAUGUGUUGAUAUCGGAAGGAACGCCGGUGGCGAAAGCGGCACACUGGAUCUCAACUGACGCUGAGGCACGAAAGCGUGGGGAGCAAACAGGGAUUAAGAAACCC
rnacentral:rRNA from 1 species